UGUAGUUCAUCCAUUCUUGUAUAUUGCUAGACUAGGAUUAAGAUGGAGAUGAAGAAGGCAAGGUGAUGAGCUCAAGUGACAUGGGUAAUUAGUGUUGAAAGUGACAAAAGGGAGGCAAAAUCCAGAAGACUCUUGCUUCUAAGGCGUGCCCACGCCAGACAACACAGAGCUGCGUGAAAAAGCCGGAUCGCGGGCCCAAUCCCUGGAACAACCAUUCUGAUUGGAAGAUACCUUUUUACCAUGCGUGAGAUCAUGCGUGAGAUCAGGAAACCUUAAAAACAAGAAGUCUUUUGGCAACAAACAAAUAAGAAAGUAAGAAAAAGGAAUCCUUUUGGGAAACACAGGAGAAUUGGAAACCAAUUGGAAUUGGAAAGCAAGUGCUGCAAAGACCUUUCAGUAGCAGAGGAAAUAGAAUUCGAAGAGGACUUUUGGCAACAAUCCAAUGAGGGAAAUAAGGAAACAAUCCUUGUGGGAAACAAAUUCCAAUUCAACAAGCAAAGGGAAGCGGCAGCAACACUAUAAAUAAAAAGGCAGCAAUAGACUAGGGGAUCUUCUGUCUUGGACUUGUCUCUUUGUUCUUUUUCUUCUUUUUUCUUUGGAACGCAAGUAGAAAAUAGCAGCCGACAUCUUUUACUACUUUCUCAAUCAACAAAAACUCCAUGAAAACUCUGAAUUGCUUGAAGAUUAUGCGGCAAGGCUAGUUCUUUUAUCUAGUUGAGGAAUAAAUCAAGGACCGGGGCACCAUAA